rnacentral:rRNA from 1 species
AGGGUUCGAUUCUGGCUCAGGAUGAACGCUAGCUACAGGCCUAACACAUGCAAGUCGAGGGGCAGCAGAUCGAAAGCUUGCUUUGAUGCUGGCGACCGGCGAAUGGGUGAGUCACGCGUGUCCAACCUGCCCUGUGCCCGGGGAUAGCCCUUGGAAAUGAGGAUUAACACCCGAUAGGUGGCGCUUCCGCAUGGCGGCGCCAUGAAACCGACACAGGAUGGGGACGCGUCGGAUUAGCUUGACGGCGGGGCGACGGCCCACCGUGGCGACGAUCCGCAGGGGUUCUGAGAGGAAGGUCCCCCACACUGGCACUGAGACACGGGCCAGACUCCUACGGGAGGCAGCAGUGAGGAAUAUUGGUCAAUGGCCGAGAGGCUGAACCAGCCAAGUAGCCGUGCAGGACGACGGCCCUACGGGUUGUAAACUGCUUUUGCGGGAGGAUAAAGGACGCCACGUGUGGCGUUUUGCAGGUAUCCCGUGAAUAAGGACCGGCUAAUUCCGUGCCAGCAGCCGC